CUUCCACUGAAGGAGGAGAGAUUACUAGAAACGAUUCGUUUCCCCUUUUAUCUGGGGAUUAAAUGUCGGGGUAGAGAACACACAAUUUUGUGAGACUCAAAUUAGGUCAAAAUUCGACAAAGAUCCAGAAAAAAAGGACAUUGUGCAUUUCAGGUGGCAGCAGUACACCUCAAAGAAGAAGAAGAAUAAAUUAACCCAGAACUUCUUCAUAUGAAGAAAGUGGACGUUGUGUCAUUUAUAAUGAUAGUGAUAAACAAAACUGCACAAGUUGAAAGGAAGUAAAGAAUUAUCAAUAUCAUUGUUUCUGCAGCUGAACUCUUUUUGGGAUUAAAACAUUUCACAUCUGAAGAGCUA